GCCCCUGUGGUGUAGUCGGGCUAAGCAUUCGAGCCUCUCGAGCUCGUGACUCGGGUUCAAAUCCCGGCAGGGGCA
rnacentral:tRNA from 1 species